GGCCUGCGCCGGCGCCAUCCCUCAUCUACGCAAAGCGUGCGACGCUCAGGCCUGUGCCUGCGUCAUCCCUCAUCUGCCUAAAGCCCUGCGCGCAGGCCUGUGCUUGCGCCAUCCCUCAUCUGCAUAAAGCGUAGGGCGCGCAGGCCAGUGUGUUGGAAAACAACGCUUUGAUGUUGUCUCCUGGAUUUUCACAGCCUCCCUCUCACAGGAGAACAGGGGUGGACCCCGGCCUCGAGCACAUCUGAGCUCUCUCUCUCCUGCCUGUGCUCCUGUUGAAGACAUUCAGCCUCCGACUGCCCUCGGGAGGAUGGAGAUGCCCAGGUGCCGAGGCCAGAGCCCAUGCGCAAAGCGAGGGCUGAGACCACGGAGGCCCCUUGUCUCCUCCAGCGGGUUCCUGAAGCCACGUCCCUGCUUGUGGAGGAAGAAAGCCGAACUGCAGCUCAGGGAGAGGUGGGCUUGCUGGCCUCGCUGGCGGCAUCCGAAUGCCUGGAGCCUCAUGGUGGGUUCUGCUAUUGCUGCCAGCAGCUGGAUGUUUCGAAAUUCGCCCGCUUUGGAAUGAUACAGUGAGACCUUGGCGGCCGCGCUGCCUGAGACGAUGCUCUUACGUCUGCAGGGGAGGUUUCAAGGCCUGCUGGAGUCAGCGGCUGCCUUGCCGCCCUGGGAGGGGCUGUGGCAGGUGAAAAAGAAGGAGUCAGCUGUCAACCUGCAAGUCAACAGCGGCCUCUCCAUACAGGGGAUCUUCCAUUCCUGCCUUUGAGCUUGGUAAGUCGUUCACUUCCCACACAGACCCCAGCACCUCUGCUCGCCACCCCCUACAUGCCCCCUGACCCUGAUCACACCCACCAGCCUCUGCCACAUUUAGAGUUAGAUGUCUCUCCCUGUCUCUAUCUCUAUUUCUUACUGUCCCUGUCUCUCUCUGUGUCUCUCCCUGUCUGUCUCCUGCCUCUCUGUCUCUCCCCACCUCUCUCUGUCCCUGUCUCUCUCUGUAUCUCCCUGUCUCUCUGUCCUUCCCUACCUGCCUCUCCCUGUCCAUCUCUCUCUCUGUAUCUUAUUAUCUCACUCUGUCUCUCUGUCUUUCCUGUCGUCUCUGUCUCUCCCUAUCUCUGUCUCUCCCUGCCUGUCUCUGUCUCUCUCCCUGUCUGUUUCUCUCAGGUGCACACAUGCUGCACACACACACACGGGAUCACUCGGGAGCUGUUCGCCUCCGUGGUGAGCGUGUCGUGAUGCAAAACCCUCUCUCGAGUGUGUUUUGCUGGUAGUGACUGUCAGGGUGCUUUUGGGGUGUGUGCUGAUUGCUGUGGUCACUCGAGGGCGGUGAUGGGAUGGGACCCUCGGCCGGCUCCAGCACCCACGCGGCCUCUUCCACCCAAGGCCGCCCCCACAACAGGGCUGUGAAGACGUGGCUGCACCCCCCAGUGCCCCUGACCUUGAGAGCAAAGUGAGAAGAGAAAGAAAAAGAGGAGCGAGAAGAUGACCUCCUAGGACCCCUGCCCCAGGGAAGCCCUGUUCCUCAGAUGCGCAUCACAGACCCCAGGGGCCUUUUCCUCUAGAAGGUGUCCACACAAACAGCCAUGGGGCCCUCUAAAGGUGGCUCCCUUCGCACAGGAGAACACUCAACCACACGGACCCACUGAGGACACACGUGUGCAGCGUGAGCAUUGCCAUCAGUGCUGCGUGACAGUCACCUCUUCUCCAGACCCUGCUUGGAGUCCCUGACCCGUCUCACCAUCACGUGAUCUCAAGUUUAUUGAAGGAAAUCAGAUGCAGCAGCAAACAUGCUUCUCAGGCUCAGAAACAAAACCCUCGCCACUGAGCUGAUGAGUGUCUCUGUGCUUCUGAACAGUGUGGACAAGGUUAAUGAAUGAGGCCCAGGCAGGCCUGUGGGCUCCUUCAAUCGGGGCAUCGAAAGCCUGGGAAGUUUUAACAGAGGCUGUUGAUGGGCAUGUUUCAAAGCAAACAGCAUCAGGGCCCUGACAGGCCAAUGACAGCACCGUGCAGUGCCGGGGGGGGCCCGGGAGGCACAGCCACAGAGCCCAGCCCUGGGGACACGGGACCUGGGUGGGGGGGCAGAGCCACAGAGCCCAGCCCUGGGGACACGGGACCGAGGGGCCACAGCCACAGAGCCUAGCCUGCACUGGGGAUACAGGGCCCAGGGUGCACAGCCACAGAACCCAGCCUGCCCUGGGACAUGGGGCGGAGCCUGAGGGUGGCUGGGGUCAGGCAGCCCUGUCCUCGUCCCCAACACUCCACAUCCCCAGGGUAGCUGGAGACCCAAGCUGAUGACUCGGACGCAGGACAGGAAAGGACAUAAGUGACUGACAAGCUCCAGGCCUGUCCUGACAGGAUCAGAGGGGAGGCAGGAAGGGCCCUCCAUGGCAGGCAGGUGGGGCGCCUCUGCAGAAACCAUAGCAGGUUACAGAGAAGAAUCGAAAAGAGGCCAUGCGGCUGGGGGCAGAGGGGAGGGCCCCCAUGAGAUGAGGAGGCACUCAUCGCGGGAGAGCCAAUGGAGAGAGAUGAAGAUGCGGACGCUGCUCUGGCCAUAAAACCAGGUACGCAUCUCAGGGGUCUCAAGAUGCUUUCUUUAUUGUAGAUUUUAAAUCUCCAGGUGAAGGGUUGUCCAUGGAUCUUCCCCUGGGCACCUUCUAACGCAACAGACCGCUUGUCUGGUUCCCAAAUGUCACACUGCGUGGGGAUGAGAUGGAAUCCCACACAGUGCCUCAGGAAGAACUAGAAACUGCGAAACUCCCAAACAACCCGAUAACCACGCAGCUGCUGCAGCAAAGUAUGAACACAGCCAGGUGAAAGGCCCACUUCCUCCGGCUCCCCAGCCUGCACUGACACCCACUCCAAAGACAGCUCAGGCCUUCCUAGAAAAGGCAGGUCCUGACCUAGGCUAACACUUGUAGGUAAAUUCUUGGAUAUGAACUACACGCCCUUCAACACUGAUAUUUCUAUAAAGAGAAGGUCAAAUAAAAAUAUAAGCAAUCUUGCAAAA